rnacentral:lncRNA from 1 species
CGACGAAUUGCACAUUCUUUUACAGGGUGUCGCGAGUGGGGACACAACGAAAGUCACCGUGCUGUGUUAAGCAUGUCGAGGCGGAGAAUUUAAAUGACAGUGACCUCUGCUGGGGAUACGUGGAAGUGCACUGAGGUGAUGCGAAAGCACAGGAAAUACACUGAAUGCGCUUGGCUCCUAUGAAGGCAAAGAGUCCUUGGUUUGCAAGAACUUAUUUGCAGAGCACACAAGUCUGGGCAGUGGAGGCACAAAGAGCUUUUUAUACAGCAGUGAUUGCCUUAAACCUAACGGCACCACCUUGCACACUGCCAGUGAGAUUAUAUUCCACGAACCUGCUGAUGUAGGGCACUUUUACCCGAGGGAAAGUCCCAAAGGGAAAGUUUGAGGUCAGUCACUCAAUUCCUGUGAAACAAGUGGACCAGUGUCCCCUAUUCUCUUGGUGAAAUUUAAGACAUAAAAAAAAUACAAAAAUACACAUGGCUUGGGACAAACAACAUCAAAAACCUUGCCAAUAUAAACAUCUUUUGCAGAAAAAUAUAUCUUAAAGCUCCACAGGUUUUCAGGGGUGACUCCUUUUCAGUUGUCCUUGGAUUUUGUAGAGUAGUUUUGGUUGGGGCCUUUUUCCUGCCUGCCCAUGUUCAUACAGGUAGAGCUUCGCCUCUGUGUGUGCUGAGAAGAGACAAGUACAGGUUAAUUUAUUUCCUGAAAUGUUGUGCAUUUUACUCUUUCUGCUUUUCCCUGUGACAUUAACCUCUA